AUCUUGUAAGAAAGGUGCUUAGGUCUCUACUAAGAACAUAGGAGGUGAAGAUCAUGAUGAUUCAAGAGGCAAAAGACCUAAAUAUCUUAUCUUUGGAGGGACUUCUUGGAUCACUUAUAAGACAUGAACUCACCAUGAGAUAGCACAACGAAGAAGAGACCAAGAAAAAGAAGACUAUUGCUCUCAAGUCCACUGCUCAAGA
rnacentral:lncRNA from 1 species